rnacentral:lncRNA from 1 species
UUACGAAGGUUGUCCUCGAUGCACGACCCCGCACAGGACCGCGCAUCACCUGACACCGGCUGACGUGCCGCCAACUCCCAUCCGACAAUGUGCGGGAGACUAAUCUGCGGAGCUCUCCUGGUGCUGUUCAUAGCACUCACGAUAUCCAGGGGUUGCCUGCAACACAGGAAGUUCUACAACUUUUGCCACAAGAGAGAAAUGAGGUGCGAGAAUCACACGGACUGCUGCGACGGCCGGUGCAGACCAUCGCCCAUCCCACCAUACAAAAUGAAGUGUUUUUGAUGCCAAUCUGCCGCAUGGCGCGGACCGACAUUGUCGAUUGUCAUUACACGGAAUAAAGAUAUCUGUAAGUGAAACAAUGUCAGGAGAGUUGU